rnacentral:lncRNA from 1 species
UGUUUUGCAGUUGGCUUAGAACAUAGGUCUGGGGUUAGUAGUUCUUUUGAUACCCGACAUACUGACCUUGGUUACUCUUUACAGGAUCAGCUGGUUUGUCUUUCUUAGGCCAGAAAUGUUGUGGGUUGUUCCUCACGUUAGGGUUUGGGUAGUAGUUUUUGAGCUGCCAUCCUUUCCCAUUCACAUAGCUCACCUCUUGUUGAUCGCCUCCUGAUAUUUCAGCAUCAAACGCC